rnacentral:lncRNA from 1 species
GCUCUUCCCUCAGCCCCUGAGGUCUGGAGUGCUUCCCGUUGGGAGAUUUACUAGUUUUCUUGCUUGGCUACCCGGCAUUAACAGGCAUUGGAACCGUGGGAAGCGAGUCUCCUGCCCAUCUCUGUUCAUCCCGGACAGUUGCAAUUGUGGAGGGACCCUCCAAUGACAUUGGACACUGGAGGCCCAGAGAAGGAAGUCCUCUGAAGAGAAUAAAAUAGUCCACUUAAAGCAACACCAGAAGUCUCUUGGGAUAUGUGAGGACAAUAGCUCCCUGUGUGUGCUGGAGACCUUGGACAAAGUCCCCAAGUCAUAUCCAUACCUACAAGGUGUCAGAAGAAAAGAUUACAACACAUCCCGUUUAAAGCAUAACCCAGCUCAUCCUGACUGAUGCCACCAUUUCAAGAGAAGAGAAAUGAGACUGAGAAAGAUUAAGAUAUUUUCUUAAGAUUGGACACUGUGUUCCUACCCGUUGUGCUUGCCUUAUAGUCGAAAGAGAAUUUAUUUAAGCACAGAGAUCAAGCAAAAGUGGAGCACAGGACACACUUUCAAGUUGCCUUGGGGACUGCUCUGUAGAACAAAAAAGAAACUCAAGAUUUUAAGGAAUAAAAAGUACAAAUGAAGAGAAGGCAUGAUUACAAAAGUUGUUGAUCAGUAAUUCUCAUUGGUAGACAGAAAUACCAGUGGCUAAUGAUCGGCUAUACAUUGUUGAAUUAUAGGAUGUAUGGUAUUUAAAAUAUAUUUAUUUAAAACUAAAUUUUUUAAAGAUUUUUGAUGGGUUUAGGGGUACAGGUGCAGUUGUGUUACAUGGAUAUAUUGUGUAGAGGUGAAAUCUGAGCUUUUAAUGUACAACUACCCAAAUAAGAUACAUUGAACCCGAUAGGCAGCAUUUCACUUUCACCCUCAUUCUAUCCUCCCACCGUUUGGAGCCUCCAAUGUCUAUCAUUCAACUCAGUAAGUCCAUGUCCAUGGUUUAGCGCCCACGUAUAAGUGGGAAUGUGCAGUUCUUGAUUUUCUGUUUCUGAGUCAUUUCACUAAGGAUAAUGCCCUCCAGCUCCAUACACAUUGCUGCAAAAGUCAUAAUUUCAUUCACUUUUAUGGCUGAAUAGUAUUCCAUGGUAUAUAUCUACCAGAUUGUUUUAUUCAAUGAUGUGUUGAUGGACACUUAGGUUGAUUUCACAACUUUGCUAUUCUGAAUUGUGAUACAAUAAAUAUACAAAUGCAGAA